GAGAGGGAAAAAAGCAACAGGAGUCCAUCCCAUUCUCUUGAGACAACAGGUUCACUGAUCACAGAGAAAAUUUCUUUUCCCUCAGAGUUUAGGCACCUUCAGGUCUGUGCUGUCACCAAUAUCCUUACUGCUACUGCCAUGGAGCAGGGAUUCAAGAUAACCAAAGGAAGACAAAGGGACAAAAUGGCAGCAGCCAGCCUGACCAUUCCCUUCCCAUCAUGAGGGAGAGGGCUGUGGUAUGGACAGCAGCAGCUGACUGGCCACAGGUGCAGCCACUGCCAUCCAGCCCCGACUCAUUCCUAGAAUAAGAACCACCAGACUGCCCUCUGACACCUGCCUCAGCGGUCCCCACCACUCCUCAAACCCUGUCACCGUCCACAGACAAGCCCUGGAGGGGUGGGGAAAAGGUUUCAUUGUGAGAAACCACUGGGGAUCCUGAAGUUAAAACUCAUCAAAGUGUGGGGAAAACUAAGACUGGCCUAGCAGGAUUUUUACUCUCAAGCUAAUCUACACUCAACCUCAAAGAAUUUAUUAAAAUUCACAUUUAACCAUCUUAUCAGUAUACAUCUUCAAGAGCUUUCGUUUCUGGUACAAAAGUUUCAGCUGCAGUUACUUGUAUUCAUCUGUCUCUUCAGAUUUCGAGGUGGUGGUCUGUCUUGUGAGCUCAAGUCUCUGGUGAUUCUAAUAAAUGUCAUUGAUUUUUUAAGUCUUCUCAGAUUUAUUUCUUGUUUUUAGGAUGGGAGUGGUGACUUCCAAGCUUUUUACAUGUGAAAGGUAAACCAAAGUCAACGUGAAUCUCCUCUUCAUGUCUACAACUGAGCAACAGGUUUUUCAAACCUUGUAGCUCAACCCCUACUAUCUGACAGUCUUUCAGACACAGCUAAGAGUCUAUAUAUCUUUCUGUUUCACAACCUCGCUCUGAUACUCUCUGUGUGUUUCAUCAUUCUAUCUUUUAGCAUGGUUAGGAUGAUCCUCACCUAGAAUGGAGAAACCUCCAGAGAUUUGAAUCUGAGAAAACUAAGUUUCCUUGAUUCUUCAGUGUUUUUUCUGACUACUCAAUAGCAG
rnacentral:lncRNA from 10 species